ensembl:lncRNA
CAGCUUGUGAUCAGCAAAUGGGUCUUUUUGAUGAGAUACUGCUGGUAACUGUUUAUCUUGCUGCUAAAACCUGCACAAAGGCGAACUUUUUCUUUCAUAUUAUUGGCCAUUUUCUGAAGUGAAGUGAAAUACUGGAUUUUCAGCCCAUCCAUAAAUUUUCAACUGCUGCCGUGCCUAUACUGAGACAAGCUUCCUGCCCUGCAAGCCUUGGUUGCAUUGUAUAGUAUUAUGCAAAUCUGUGAGUUCCUGCUGUGUCACUGAAUGCAUUCUCCUAUGAAAAAAACACACAAACUACUAGUCAAAAAUAGUAAAAGGAGUUCAAAUGAAAGCUAGUGAUAUGCAGAUUCCUUAAUACUGUGUGUAUAAUUACCACGAACCAGUGCUUCAUGGGAGACAAGCUGUUGCUCUGGCUGAUUCAUCUAAAGUACAAAAGACUGGGCCAGGAGGUAACAGCAAGGAAUUGGCAGAUGUUCAAUAAAUCACCUUUUCUUUAUGAAAUUCCUUAUGAUUUUUCUUAUCACAGCAGAUAACUUAAGGCUUUCUGCAAUUCUAAUGGGAAAAAAAAAAAGACAACUGUUAUUAAAGACAUUGACUUACAUACUUUUUCUAGAUUACUUCUUCAUCUUCCUCUAAUCAUGACCUUUUUAUUUUCCAUUUCAUUUUUUGGUUCAUGUUGCUUAUAGGAAGAUUUUUUUAUGUUUAAAACAUUAAAAAAUUAAAGCAUGUUGUCUUUCUAAUGAGCUGAAUUUAACAGAAAGACAGAAUAUGAUGUGGUUCAUGAUCUGUAGCACCUUAAUAUCACUGGUGAUGAUAUGGCAGAUAUUACUACUGUGAGCACCUUAAGAUAUAGUACAUUAAUAAGAAGUAUGGUGACCUUUCGCUAUAGAGCUCUUUAAUCUGAUGUAGUCUGUCAGAUCAACCUCAGCAUAUAUACAUGUUUCUUCCUAAAAAUGAUUCUUCUCCAGGGAUAUCUUACUUUAGUUGCCUAAGAAUUCUCUCUCAAUUUUUCCAGUUGUACUUUAAUUUGAACCCUUUGACGCAACUUCCUUUAUUUGCUUAUCUAACCAAUGAUAUAUGAUUCCUAAUGCUAAGAACAGCAUGUUUGGAUGGAUGGUUGCAUCCAAAAUUAGUGUAAAGCUUGCUACCGUUGCAAAAAUAUGAAAACAAAGGCAUUGGUUGAGUCAGGGAAGGUGCAGACAGGUACAAAGGUUUUCGGUACAGGAACACUGCUUGGAGUUUGAUCCUGGCUAGGUAGGAGCCACAUGUCUGGUGACGGCACGUUGCCUUUGGGAAAUUAAUUGGACAGUCUCAGUCACACACACUGGACUUCAGCUUCUGGUAUUUUACAUUAGUAAAACAUCAUUCUUAAAACUGGUACUGUUGUGGAGCUGACAGUUUAAGUCCAGAAGCUGUGGUCUACAAAGCCCUAGUAAUACAGGGAGAGAUGCCUUGCUGCUCCCAGCAAUCUCCUCUUGCCUGGAAUUGCUUAUACCUCACUGGUACUGUAGUUGGUUCAUUGUCAAUUGUAGCCCGGGGCUGAGCCUAUGUUAGAUUAUAUUUCACUAAGAUACAAGUACGUAGUAAAAACUGAUUCAAAAUAAAGACCAUCCAGUGACUCAGAUUGUGUCAAUUAGUGGGUAAUUUAGGAAAUCAUAUGGCAAUACUGAAAGUGUGGAGUAGUGAAGUAAGGAGCAUCUGGCAGUUGGUGAAUGAGGAAUUUCCUGAACUGGUGGCUGAAUCCUAUUCAUUGUGUUUAAUAGCUACCCUUGAAUGUAUCUGCUGUGAAUUUUUCUAAUCCCAUUCCUGCUCUGACCACUUGGUUGUCGGAGGAUCAUUAAUUCCCUGAUUUAACUGUUAUGUUCUUUUUACUCGCUUUAAGCUCGAUGCCUGAUAAACUCAUGGCAUGCUCCAUGUUACUGAACAUAGAAUAUUAUCCAAUUUGUCCUCCAUCCCUCUCCUACCAUCCCCUAGCUUCUUAUUCUCUAACAUUCCACAUGCUUUGUAAUCACAACUAAAUGCUAUGUGGACAUUUUCAGAAAACAGCGUCUCCAAUUUCUCUUCCACCUGAAUACUGGUCACUGGAGCCUGACACUGGGUAUUUUUUUGUCAGAUUUUCUUUUCCCAGGAGAUUUGGUUUCCAUUCAUUAGUUAUGAAUUUCACAUUGUAUCACUCAGUCACUCAGUAGUAGAUAAUCUUUCUUCGCCAUUCUCUGCAGGCAGUUUUUGAUUAUAUUGCCCUGAAUAGGUUAGUAUUACCAGCAGAUUUUCUCAGCUCACCCUUGUAUUUAACUUCUUUUUCAAAACUUCUUUCAAAUUAAUUUGAUCCUGCAGUCACCACUGCUCAAUGUUGAGGACUCCACUGAUAAUUUCCUUCUAUUAUGAAACUUUACUGCUUAUAGCUGCAGUUGCAAUUUUAUAAAAUGCGAGAAAAUAAUGAAUCAAAUAGAUUUUAUGCAGUUUGAAAUAUUGUGCUUGAGACACUUCCUUUUUACUAAAAACAAGGAAUCAGGUUCUUUGCUGAUAUUACUCUUCUGUUGAGCGUAAUGAAUGCGUACAUACAGAGACUAAAAUAGCUCUUAAGAUUUUCUUUAUGCUUUAUCUGGCAUAAAAAUACUCAAGAAAGGAUCGGAUAAAAAGGAGAUGCUUACAACAUUUUUAUAAUGAAUGAUAUUGCAUCAAUGCCACAACAGAAUAUCAAAUUUAUGGAUUUGCAGGUAUAUUUUCAUGUUAGAUAGAGGAGAAUCAGCCAAGUAUGGGGAGUUUGUUCUUCACUUCCUAAAUAAGGUGCAGUGAUGAUCUACAAGCUACUCACUCUAAUUAGUCUUCUUGAAGAAGUUCUUUUGAUGUUCGCUUAUGUAUAAAAAGGUAUGUUCUUAUGACUGCAAUAUAAUUAAACAAUACUGAUAAUUGAUGUA